rnacentral:rRNA from 1 species
UUAACUUACACCACAAACCGCCCGGGAAUUACGAGCCCAAGCUUAAAACCCAAAGGACUUGACGGUGUCCCAUCCACCUAGAGGAGCCUGUUCUAUAAUCGAUUCUCCCCGAUACACCUCACCACUUCUAGCCCAACAGUCUGUAUACCUCCGUCGCAAGCUUACCAUGUGAACGAAACUAGUGAGCUUAAAGAUUUUUUCACCAACACGUCAGGUCGAGGUGCAGCUUACGAAGCGGAAAGAAAUGGGCUACAAUUUCUAAUCUAGAACAAACGAAAGACUACAUGAAAAACAGUCAUGAAGGCGGAUUUAGUAGUAAAAAGAAAAUAGAGUGUUCUUUUUAAUAAGGCCCUGGGACGCGUACACA